CCUACGGGGCGCAGCAGUAGGGAAUCUUCCACAAUGGGCGAAAGCCUGAUGGAGCAACGCCGCGUGGGUGAAGAAGGUCUUCGGAUCGUAAAACCCUGUUGUUAGAGAAGAAAGUGCGUGAGAGUAACUGUUCACGUUUCGACGGUAUCUAACCAGAAAGCCACGGCUAACUACGUGCCAGCAGCCGCGGUAAUACGUAGGUGGCAAGCGUUAUCCGGAUUUAUUGGGCGUAAAGGGCGCGUAGGUGGGCGCUUAAGUCAGGUGUG
rnacentral:rRNA from 1 species